GAAAUGCGAUAAGUAAUGUGAAUUGCAGAAUUCAGUGAAUCAUCGAAUCUUUGAACGCACCUUGCGCUCCUUGGUAUUCCGAGGAGCAUGCCUGUUUGAGUGUCAUUAAAUUCUCAACUUCAUCAGUUUUGUUACAAGACUGUGUGAGGCUUGGAUAUGGGGGCUUGUGCAGAAUGUGUCAAAGCGGACUGCUCCCCUUAAAUGAAUUAGCGAGUUCUAACUGGGCUCCGUCUAUUGGUGUGAUAAUUAUCUACGCCAUGGAUUGGGCUUAGACUCGCUUCUAAUCGUCUGCAAGGACAAUCUUUUGACAAUUUGACCUCAAAUCAGGUAGGACUACCCGCUGAACUUAA
rnacentral:misc_RNA from 1 species